rnacentral:lncRNA from 10 species
GGAACUGUCUUGAACUCCAUAUCAGAGAUAUGUAGAGGAGGAAACACACAAGUUCUCUUUCAAACACAUUAAGUUGGAGGUGUCUGUUGAAUCGACUGUGAGCUCUUGUUCUAGUCCUGUGCUGAGCCUUGUAGCAAAACAGAGCAGAGUGAACUUGGCGGCUAACUGUGUGGACUUUGGAGAGAGUCAGCUUAUAUUCAAAUCUCAUUUGUGCCACGCAAGAAGAUGGAGAAACUACAGCCCAGAGAGGGGAGUGAUUUUCCCGUUGUUGCACAUCUCAUUAGUGAAGAUGUUAAAGAAGAGUGUCACAUGGAGGAAGAAGGAAACUGAAUCUCUGUGUCUCCAGAAGGCAGUUCUAGGACCAGUGCAUGGGAAUUUCAGGGAACAGAUAUGGGUUCAUGUUAAGGAAAAUCUUGCUAAGUGAGCUGCUCAAUGCUGCUUUUAAAGAUGAGCAAACUGAGUCUCAGUUGCUAUGUCCAGCAUCACAGUAGGUACUAAGUAAAUGGAGGCACCAAGAUAUCCACUCAGGUUUGACUUCAAGUCCAUGCUAUAGAAUCACAAAGGACAGCAAUGCUCAUAUCAUGAUGGAUCAGCCUCUCAGAGGAAAACUCUGAAAGCAGGUAAAUUCUUUACCCAGUGGAUGAAGGCUCAGGAGGACCUCCCCAGUGGAUUAAGAAAUGGAGUCUGUCUUUUUCUUUUUACCUAGUGUUGCAGCCUUCACAUCUGGAUCAAGCACCAUUUCUCUCUCUCUCUCUUUUUUAAUACAGGGUCUGGCUCUAUAGCCCAUGCUGGAGUGCAGUGGUGAGAUCUUGGCUCACUGCAACCUCUACCUCCCAGGCUCAAGACAUCUUCCCACUUCAACCUCCCCCGUAGCUGGGACUACAGGCAUGUGCCACCACACCUGGCUAAUUUUUGUAUUUUUAGUAGAGACAGGGUCUCACUUUGCUCCCCAGGCUGUUCUCAAACUCCUGAGCUCAAGAGAUCCCCCGACCUCGGCCUCCCAAAAUGCUGGGAUUACAGCUGUGAGUCACCACGCCUGGCCCCAACCAGUAAUUCUUAGGUAAGAGAGAGAGGUGCACCAGGGAUGCUGGUAGGAAAAGGAAUUCAAGUCCUACUAAUAAUACAAUAUUAAUGCUCUCACAGAUCUAAGAGAGCUCCUAAUCAACAUUUUAUUUUCAUUUUGGGGGUAUUUGAGGCCCUAAAAGGGAAAAUGAAGAGCUAUUUGAAGUCUUGGCCAAUAACUUCAAUGAUCCAUUCUCUUCAAUCAGAACCAGUGCUUGGCCACUAGAGAAAAAGUACAUACAGUUACAAAUUGAUGGUCAAGUUGCCAACUGCCAUUUAUUGGGAAGUAUCAAUAUGGUACUUCUGUCUCUGAGCUCACCAUACUGGCUACUGGCACCAUUGAGCUCAUGAGUCAAGUUAUGGUUCUACCUGACUAGUUAUUUCACUGUUUUCUGAACAUUUUCCUCAUCCUUCGCUCUCUCACGGAAUAAUUUUCCUUGCUUCCAGUCUAAAAUGAAGCAAAAAUUAAGCCUCAAAGAAACUGUUUACCUCUGUGAGACAGUGUAGUGAAUUCUUAUAAUUUUAAGUUGCCUCAGCAUCCAUUUUGAAUACAAGUUUAAGUUUCUCAUACCAAGAGCAGCAAUCAAUUGCCCUUGACACAGUUUCAAGUUCCACAUGACACACAAAUGGCUCAAGCUAGUGGCCAGAGAUAAAACUUAGAGGCAUCCCUCCUUCCUAGCAGGCUAGACCCCUCGCUUUCUGCACCUCCUGUAAAUAGACUUUUAGGCAUUUGCCUGCAUACUUAAAGUGACCCACACCCUAUUUCCUUAUAUAUACUGCUAGUUGUCAUGUGUUGUCUCUUUCUCUUCCUGAAUUUUCAUUUCUACCUCCCAUGACCCAUGACCUGGGGCCAGAAGACUGCCCUGCGAACUCAUUGAGCACUCCCUGCCCAGAAUCUGCAGGGAUACCCCUCAUCUCCUUGGUUGACUGACAGACUUCAGUUCGGGUUGUGCUUCAAGAACCAGCACAAAUGGCACCUCCUUUAUUCAGUUAUUUACCUGAACUCCCACAAUAGAGUGAAAUUUGCACAUACCUUAAUCAGAACAAAUGGAUUUCUGUAGAUAUUCCUUGGAUUUGUUAUGGAUUUAUGCUUGUGCAUCAUGAGCCUAUUGAAGAUUCGACAGGCCUCUGUGCUGGCAGCUUCAGAAAUGCCUUUGGGCUUGUCACAUGUUGAAAACUCCCAACUGGCUGUCUGAAUUGGCAACCAUGCUUUGGCUCACUGGAGAGAAGAGAGAAAUGGUGCUUUUUGUCCAUCUACUGAUAACCUCUCAUGGCAGAUCAAAGGAACCAGGUUUUGAUGACUUACAGCUCACACAAGGUCAUCCUGGGAAAACAGAUCCUGAGAAGUACUGCAGAGCUUGUGAAGUACUGCACUGGCUGGUGUCUGGAUUCUAGAGUUUAUGAUCUGCUCCAAAGCCAGAGAGGUGAUGACUAGAAGGUAGAUAUGAAUUGGGGACAGUGGUGUGCUGAUAAAUAUUUAACAACCAGCUCCCUGGGGGAAAAAUAUGUGCAUAUGUACAUGUACAUAAGUUUAUUAUACAUUUCACUCAUAUACAGGACAAGUAGCACACAAUUUACAUGUUAUAUAUAUAAAAUAUACAAUAAUCUUUAUUAUAAAUUCCAUAUAGCUAAUUGAUUCUCAUAGAAUACAUUAGUUAAUUUCUGUUGAACUCUUGUAUUCAUGGCCAAGCUAUUAUUGCAAUCCAACCAUUAUUUGACAAUAUCAGCCUGCAAAUAAACGUUUAAAUACUGUCUGGUUC